UACGUAGGGGGCAAGCGUUGUCCGGAAUUAUUGGGCGUAAAGAGUUCGUAGGCGGUUUGUCGCGUCCGUUGUGAAAGCUUGGGGCUCAACCCCAAGUCUGCAGUGGAUACGGGCAGACUAGAGUCAGGUAGGGGAGAUUGGAAUUCCUGGUGUAGCGGUGGAAUGCGUAGAUAUCGGGAGGAACACCAGUGGCGAAGGCGACUACCUGGCCUGUUCUUGACGCUGACGGCGCG
rnacentral:rRNA from 1 species